AGGCAAUUGCUGUGGGAGGCGUGGUGUAACUGCUGGAAGGAAGACACUCCAUUCCUCUGAGCAAUGAAGGCCACAUGGAGUCCUGGAUUUUAUGUGGUCCUGGCAUCCAUGAUGCACCACGUGCUGGCAGGUGACUCAGGACGGGGCAGUUAUCAUGGGACAUCCGCCGUAUGCUGGCAAUGAACAUGGUCAGUUCUUCUCAGCCACAAAGGCCCCCAAAGUCCUGGAGCUGGUGUGGCUUAGCAUCCACGGUGCGCCCCCUGCUGGUGGAUGGCUCAGGACGGGGCAGUUGCCAUGGGAGGCCCGCCACCUGCUGGAAGGAAGAUGGUCAAUUCUUUUGAGCCACAAAGGCCCUGCAGAGUCCUGGAGUCAGUGUGGCCUGGCUUCCUGGGUGCACCUUGUGCUGGUGGAUUGCUCAGGACGGGACAGUUGCCGUGGGAGGUCCGCUGCCUGCUGUCAGGGAAGAUGGUCGAUGCUUCUGAGCAACAUAGGCCCACGUGGAUUCCGUGUGGCCUGGCAUCCACUGUGCACCCCGUGCUGGCGGGUGGCUCAGGACGGAGCAGUUGCCUUGAGAUGCCCACUGCCUGCUGGCACAGCAGAUGGUCAAUUCUUCUGAGCAAUGGAGUCCCCACUGAGUCAUGGAGUCGGUGUGGCCUGGCAUCCACGGUGCACCCUGUGCUGGUGGAUGGCUCAGGACGGUGCAGUUUUCAUGGGAGGUGUGGCACCUGCUGGAAGGAAGAUAGUUGA
ensembl:lncRNA